GACAUAGGGAGGGAGAAAGGAGGCUCCAGGAAGAAUCGGAAUGAGAACUGAUGAGGACCUGAACUGCAGCAGGAGGAGAGAGAGUGGCGAGGACGUCUCACGUGUGAGGACGUCUCACGUGCUGUCAUGUCAUUUAUUGGCACCACCUUCAACACAACUACUCAAGCCCAGUUGCUGAGCAUCAUCUGGAAUCCUUUCACCUUCCCAUGCACAAUCCUUGAGAUCCGGAGAUGCUACCUCCAAAAGGCAACCAAAAAAUCUAACGACGACUCACUAUCUUCCCAUCUACUGUCCAGUUGUGUAUAUAUGCGUCUAUGGACCAGGUAGUGUGUCAAAGGUAUUUCUUAGCUGUAGGGUUGCAGCAAAAAAGUUUGGAAGCUAUUCAUUGCCCAUUAGGCAAUUAAAGAGUAAAGAUGUGGCCCCUGCCUACAUCUUUAAUCUCAUCUUCUGUCAUCUCCCCCUCUUUGCUCCUUUAGUCCCUGGAAAGUGGUAAGCUCUUUCCUGCCUUGGGGCCUUAGUAUUUGCUGUUAACUCUACCUGGAACAUUCUCCUUAUCUUUCCC
rnacentral:lncRNA from 1 species